UGGGGAAUAUUGCACAAUGGGCGCAAGCCUGAUGCAGCGACGCCGCGUGGGGGAUGACGGCCUUCGGGUUGUAAACCUCUUCAGCAUCGACGAAGCCUUUUUGGGUGACGGUAGGUGCAGAAGAAGCGCCGGCUAACUACGUGCCAGCAGCCGCGGUAAGACGUAGGGCGCGAGCGUUGUCCGGAUUUAUUGGGCGUAAAGAGCUCGUAGGCGGCUUGUUGCGUCAGCUGUGAAAGCCCAUGGCUUAACUGUGGGUUGGCAGCUGAUACGGGCAGGCUAGAGUUCGGUAGGGGAGACUGGAAUUCCUGGUGUAGCGGUGAAAUGCGCAGAUAUCAGGAGGAACACCGGUGGCGAAGGCGGCUUGCUGGGCCUGUCCUGACGCUGAGGAGCGAAAGCGUGGGGAGCGAACAGGAUUAGAUACCC
rnacentral:rRNA from 1 species